rnacentral:rRNA from 1 species
UACAGAGGUCUCAAGCGUUGUUCGGAUUCAUUGGGCGUAAAGGGUGCGUAGGCGGCGCGGUAAGUCGGGUGUGAAAUCUCGGAGCUUAACUCCGAAAUUGCACCGGAUACUGCGUUGCUCGAGGACUGUAGAGGAGAUCGGAAUUCACGGUGUAGCAGUGAAAUGCGUAGAUAUCGUGAGGAAGACCAGUUGCGAAGGCGGAUCUCUGGGCAGUUCCUGACACUGAGGCACGAAGGCCAGGGGAGCAAACGGG